rnacentral:rRNA from 1 species
UAGUAGUAAAUUUAAACAAAACCUAUUUAUUUUGGCGGCAAUUAAUCUAAUUAAAGGAACUUGUUUAGUAAUCGAUAACUCACGUUUACUUUCACUUAAAUUAAAAAUUUAUAUACCGCCAUCUUAAGAAUCGAUUUCUAAAAACCAUCCAUUACUAUUAAAAAAUAAGUUAGGUCAAGGUGUAAUCUAAAUUUUAGAAAAAAUGAGUUACAAUAAAAAACAUUUAAGAACUUUUUAAUAAAAAUUAAAAAUGAAAAAGAAUUCAAACGUAAUUUUGAAAUAAAAAUUCAAUAUGAAUUUGCAAACAAAUGUGCACACAUCGCCC